AUUUUUUGAUCAUAACAGCUCUUCAAUGUAUAUGUUAAAAUAUAAUUAUUAUGAUUAUUAACAAUAAUAGUUUCACCCUCAAGAGAGCAGUGCAGCAGAAACCUUUUGCCUUAUGUGAUUUUGUGUGAAUUUACAAUUUUGUCCGCUUGCCUAACAUUGCAUUAUUACAUUUGUAUUCAUACACUGUCAUGUCAUUUGAGCAAUUAAUUAAAUAAUAAUACAGACUGCUAAUUAAACUUAAUACACAGUUAUGUUAACUAGCGCAAACUAUUGCUAUUGUUAUUGGUUGUUUCGCCGUUUUACCUAGAGCAUGAUUGGUUAAUCUGUCUGUUUUAAAGGAAACUGUCCAAUGAGAAUGUGCGCGGCUCUGCGCGCCUAUUUUAAAUUUGAAAAUAUGUCCGUUACUCUCGGUCGGAGCAGCUGCUUUGCGUUGAUUACUCGGUCAGACCUGGAUUAUUUUAUAUCUGCCUGUUGAAUUCUUACAUUUUGAGCGAAUAUUAGUUGAUAUGACAAAUUAUGAAGAUCAAAAGCUGGAAUGUGAACAGAGGAGGGGGUCGUACGUGGUCUGUAAAUACUGGCGAUAUCAGGUAAGAAAACAUUUUUCAGUCCUUAACAGUCUAACAUUAACGUUUAGGGACACGGGUAACUUAACUGUCAUCUUAACGUUACUGCAACCUCGUAAGAUAAAUAAGUUAUCUCUGUGUGUGUUUUUGUACUGCUUCACUAUUAGCGUAGCGAUAUUAGCACGUAUUUCAUGUGUUAGUACCAUCUGACAUUGCUGUGUUUUGUUGUUGGUAAGUUAACGUUAUGUGUUUAUGUUGUCAGCUAACGUUAGUUUAAAACUCAAACGCAUGAGAGGUAAAAAAGCGUGGGAAUGUGUAAAGUGAUAAAACCGUCAUUUAUUCUUUAGAAGUAUGUUUACAUAACCUCUUCAAACACUGAUAACGAUAUUGAAAAGAUAUUUGUGUAUUCUUUUUUUUUUUAGAUCAAGCUUUGUAAUACGAUUUUUAUCGGGGGAGAACACCCAACAGAAAGACCCAUGAUUCACCAGCUGGCGCACUGAAAGGGGAGAUUCAUGUCACCUUCAUCAGUCCUUUCUUUAAUCACUGGACACCAUUAAGGGAAAGACCCUCAGACGUGUCAUAAUAGGAUAAAUGCGGCUGCAGGUAAAAUUAUUUGAUGGGGUUAGGGUUAUUUGAUUUUGGUGUACCAAUUGGCUUUUUUUUGUGUGCUUCCCUUGCUAUGAUACACAUUUCUGAUGGGAUUGCCAUGCUUUAAGUGUAUGUUUACAUUUUUAAUCAUGUAAUAACUAAUAAUAACUAAUAACUAGUAAUAGAGCCAAAGUUUGUUCAUGCUCAAUUUUCAUUCAAGUUCCAAACUGCAAUUAUUGUUAAGCGGCAACCUAAUGGCUCUGCUCUGCCGAUGCUGUGAGGGUAGGAGGCAAAGUUGCCAUUGUGUGUAAAUUGAAAACAAAACAAUGUGGCCACUGUUGAUGUGUAGGAAUUUUUACAAGCAUGAUACAUCUUAUCUAUUUUUCAGGACAAGGCCUGGUGAGAGCCACUACAGAGGAUCAUAGCCAUUGUUGGAAUUCUGAAAGGACGUGGGUGAAUAUCAAUCUGCCAAAUGAACAUUCACAUCUGUAUAUUAAUACUGAUUAUAUAUGAACUUGUUUGUUUGUAACUGGAAAGAACUUAGCUUCUAUUGUUUUUGACUGAAGGACUUGACCGUGUUUUAAGCCUAUGUGCAUUUUCUAUUACCAGUACCUGCUCUGGCCGUGCUCCAUUUUCCAUUGCAGAUCAUACCCAGAGAUAGUACCCCUCAAUGCUGCUGGUCAGCAUAGCAAGGCCACACACAACUGCCGCGAUGUACUGUUCAAUGCGACACACACACCUGCGACCCACAUACAGCUGUCUCUUGAUUUAAGUUAAAACGUUUCAGCAUUACUCAGAAUGUAAAGACAGAUACUUAAAGGUGCUCUAAGCGAUGCCGGGAGUCGUAACUUCUUGUUGACGUUCGAAUUGUUGUCAAACAAAACGGAGGCUAGCUAGACCCUCCC
ensembl:lncRNA